GGAUGUGAGGGGGAUCUGGCUGCAACAUCUGUCACCCCACUGAUCGCCAGGGUUGAUUUGGCUGAUCUGGCUGGCUAGGCGGGUGUCCCCCUCCUCCCUCACUGCUCCAUGUGGGUCCCUCCCGAAGAGGACGACCACCCCCGAUAGAGGAGGACCAUUUCCUCAGUCAAGGGUAUACGAGUAGCUGCGCUCCCCUGCUAGAACCUCCAAACAAGCUCUCAAGAGAAUCAGAAAAGGCCCGGGGAUUUAGCUCAGUGGUUCCAC
rfam:Heterocephalus glaber contig195640, whole genome shotgun sequence.